CUUCUGGCGCCAAAAUGUCGUUCGUGGCAGGGGUUAUUCGGCGGCUGGACGAGACAGUGGUGAACCGCAUCGCGGCGGGGGAAGUUAUCCAGCGGCCAGCUAAUGCUAUCAAAGAGAUGAUUGAGAACUGAUGCAAAAUCCACAAGUAUUCAAGUGAUUGUUAAAGAGGGAGGCCUGAAGUUGAUUCAGAUCCAAGACAAUGGCACCGGGAUCAGGAAAGAAGAUCUGGAUAUUGUAUGUGAAAGGUUCACUACUAGUAAACUGCAGUCCUUUGAGGAUUUAGCCAGUAUUUCUACCUAUGGCUUUCGAGGCUUUGGCCAGCAUAAGCCAUGUGGCUCAUGUUACUAUUACAACGAAAACAGCUGAUGGAAAGUGUGCAUACAGAGCAAGUUACUCAGAUGGAAAACUGAAAGCCCCUCCUAAACCAUGUGCUGGCAAUCAAGGGACCCAGAUCACGGUGGAGGACCUUUUUUACAACAUAGCCACGAGGAGAAAAGCUUUAAAAAAUCCAAGUGAAGAAUAUGGGAAAAUUUUGGAAGUUGUUGGCAGGUAUUCAGUACACAAUGCAGG
rnacentral:lncRNA from 1 species